rnacentral:rRNA from 1 species
GAUGAACGCUGGCGGCGUGCUUAACACAUGCAAGUCGAACGGUGAAGCAGGAGCUUGCUCCUGUGGAUCAGUGGCGAACGGGUGAGUAACACGUGAGCAAUCUGCCCUGGACUCUGGGAUAAGCGUUGGAAACGACGUCUAAUACCGGAUACGAGACGCGAAGGCAUCUUCAGCGUCUGGAAAGAACUUCGGUCCAGGAUGAGCUCGCGGCCUAUCAGCUAGUUGGUGAGGUAACGGCCCACAAAGGCGACGACGGGUAGCCGGCCUGAGAGGGUGACCGGCCACACUGGGACUGAGACACGGCCCAGACUCCUACGGGAGGCAGCAGUGGGGAAUAUUGCACAAUGGGCGCAAGCCUGAUGCAGCAACGCCGCGUGAGGGACGACGGCCUUCGGGUUGUAAACCUCUUUUAGCAGGGAAGAAGCGAAAGUGACGGUACCUGCAGAAAAAGCACCGGCUAACUACGUGCCAGCCGCCGCUGUAAUAC